UACGGAGGGUGCAAGCGUUAUCCGGAAUCACUGGGUUUAAAGGGUACGUAGGCGGCGCAUUAAGUCAGACGUUAAAGACCAGAGCUAAACUCUGGCACGCGUUUGAAACUGAUGUGCUUGAAUAUGUUCGAGGUGCGUGGAAUGCUUCAUGUAGCGGUGAAAUGCAUAGAUAUGAAGUAGAACACCAAAUGCGAAGGCAGCGCACUAGGGCAUUAUUGACGCUGAGGUACGAAAGCGUGGGUAGCGAACAGG
rnacentral:rRNA from 1 species